UUUUUAUGUAAAAUACAGAUUUUACAACUCCAAAAAGCUGAAAUUAAGGAGCCAUAAGGACUGAAUCGCAAGAAUGGAAGUUGACAUGAAUUAAGUUGAUCCUUUCAAACUGGAGCUGCAGAAAGCAGAGCAGAAGCACAUGGAUUGAUUGAAGCAAGGCAGAGGACGACGCUAAAACCAUUAUUGUGCAGAUACUAAGAGUGGUUGCCUUCUGUCAUCUACAAGGUGUUGUGCACCGUGAUCUGAAACCAGAGAACUUUCUUUUCGCAGCAAGAGACGAGGAUGCCCCAUUGAAGAUCAUAGAUUUUGGCCUAUCUGAUUUCAGCAGGCCAGUUCCUUAGACUCGCAACCUCCUGGAUUGUGUAUAGUCUAGUGAUAUAUCCACUGGCCAUGACUUCUGUGUCCGGAAGUUGUUUGAAGCAAAUAAAGGAAAUAUACCAUGGAAUAAAGGCAGGAAACAUACUACAGACAUUUAUAGAAACACUACGGAAGAUCAGAGAGAAGGCUAGGCUUGCAAUGCAGAAUCCUAAGGUGAUGAUGUCAUGACUAAACAAUAUGUUAUUGGCAUAUGAGGAUAAAGCAGCCUAUGCAUUAUGUGUUUUCUCACUUGCUCUUGGACCAAACGACGAGCCAAUUAGGAGAGACACCGGUAUCCAUUUUGAUAUACACUUUUUAGUGUGUUAAAAGACUCUUUUUCAUGUUUAUACAUGCGGGACUGACUAAUGCCUUAACAUUUUAGGCUGAAAUGCUUAAGGAAGAAAAGCACAAGAUUUCUCAACGCUCUAGGCCUCUUGUAUUGGACAAAGAUCAUAUUGCUGAAACUUAUUGCUGCACUGUUAUUACUGUUAGCUUAGUUGAUCAUAUUUUGCAAGAUCUUACUGUUAGCUUAGUUGAUUAUAUCUGCGCGAUGAUCAUUUGUAUUGAUUGUUGUAAAGUAUCGAUAAUUUGUUGAUGCAGGUGAUGUAUGUUUUGGUUUUUAUAUUUGGUUUCUGCAACUUGGACACUUUGUAUUUUUAAUUGCUUAAAAAGCUUUAGAAUAUAAUUUAUUGUGAUAUCUCGAUCGAGAUGUUUGUUAAUGAUUUUGAACUCUGCUCCUAAUCAAGGAUUAGAUCGACCUACCUUUACAGAAAAUUCUUGUGGCAUUAGUAUAAAUUUCAAUUAUAUUAAUGUCACAAGAAAUUUUUAACAAAUAUUUGAUAUUUUUUUUCUUUUAACUUACUUUAUUCCGAUUUUCCCAUGCUUCUUAU